CCUACGGGUGGCAGCAGUGGGGAAUAUUGGACAAUGGGCGAAAGCCUGAUCCAGCCAUGCCGCGUGUGUGAAGAAGGCCUUCGGGUUGUAAAGCACUUUCAGUGGGGAAGAAAGCCUUGGGGCUAAUACCCUCGAGGAAGGACAUCACCCACAGAAGAAGCACCGGCUAACUCCGUGCCAGCAGCCGCGGUAAUACGGAGGGUGCGAGCGUUAAUCGGAAUUACUGGGCGAAAGCGCGCGUAGGCGGUCUGAUAAGCCGGUUGUGAAAGCCCCGGGCUCAACCUGGGAACGGCAUCCGGAACUGUCAGGCUAGAGUGCAGGAGAGGAAGGUAGAAUUCCCGGUGUAGCGGUGAAAUGCGUAGAGAGCGGGAGGAAUACCAGUGGCGAAGGCGGCCUUCUGGACUGACACUGACGCUGAGGUGCGAAAGCGUGGGUAGCAAACAGGAUUAGAUACCCCAGUAGUC
rnacentral:rRNA from 1 species